UAGUGGGGCUGUGAAACCCUGAACAUUCUAAAAAAGUAUUGAAAAUGCCAUGUGAAAACUAGAAAUGCAUUUUCCUUGGAGACCAAGAUAUUUUAUGCUACUCAAUGAUGUGAGGGAAAAAAGCUCGGUUUAGGCCGAGCAAAGCUCCUCAAUUUACACAUUUGAAUCCCUGUUUUCCCCAUUGCCACAAUUUCUAUAGGCACUAAUGCUAUUAUUCAUACAAAGGAAUGUACUCACUUCUAUUGAUAUUCAUGAAUGAUAUAUACGUAAGAGCGCCUUUAUACCGAAUGCAGUCUUGCAUAUGUUCUUGGAGCUUUUGAGUCAUGAUGGUGCAUUUAAAAUGUUUCUUUUUUUUAAUGGAAUCUUGACUGUACGGUGCAUACUGUUCGAAUUCUACAUGGUUUUAUUUCUGUGUGAGUGUAUUUGUAUUAGAGCAGAGCAUCAUAACAUGCUCUCUCCGUCUGUCCUUUCGCUGGAAAGCUCCCUCAUGCGGGCAACUCUCAUCCGAUGCCAGUGUUGAUGUCAUAAGUGGCCCAAUUUCUCAGCACCUGAUUGGCCGAGCCGCUGUGACGCCGCUCUCUUCAUUGUUGUACAGUUAACAAAUUCCCGUCACAGUGUCUAGUGUGUAUGCCGAGCUCUUCUCCAACUGAAAAAGGAAACAUCCAGUGAGCCAGCUGCUGAUUGGCUCAGACAAAGAAGCCAGUGAUGCAUGCAGCUGUCAGAAAUGGGAACAGACCUCAAUACAAGCAGACCUCGGCAUCUCUGUCUGUACAUGCUGUGUGUAUUGACUUCAACAUGAUUUCUGAUGGUUGGACACUACGUGCCCGUCUCUCAAAAUAUGUCAUUAUGGGUGCUAGUCCUUUAGGAUUUAAUGUGCUUUGUUAUCAAUUGUUGACCCUUUUAGCAUUUUUACAGAUGUGAUUUAGAAAUCGGUCCACACUCGUCUGUUAAACUUAGCGGAGGUAACGUGGCCUCCUUUGGGCCGGACAACAGCAAAAUAAAGUCAAAAACGUA